rnacentral:lncRNA from 1 species
GAGUGGUCAGGCAGGGAACACUGACACUGGAGCGCGUGUGCACGAGAGGACUCCAUUUUUUUCUUUCUCUCUUUGAACAAAUACAACGUCGCCCGGUUGGAAUAUUAUCGCUAUUUUAUGAGAAAAAUCGCAUAAAAAUUGGUUUUAAACAGCGUUUGACAUGCUUCGAAGUACGGUAAUGGAAUAUUUUGACAUUUCUUGUCACGAAAUGCGCCUGCGCGUCACCCUUCGGAUACUGACCUCAACGCACGAACAAAACGGAGCUAUUUCAAUAUAACUAUGGAUUAUUUCGAACCAAAACAACAUUUGUUGUUGAAGUAGAAGUCCUGGGAGUGCAUUCUGACGAAGAACAGCAAAGGUUUGAGGAGAGAGGGGAGACAGGAGGCGAAAAGGGGUUCCCGGUAGCGUUUUCAUCAAAGGCUUUUCCGUCAGCACUUCAGAGUGGCCGUCAGUAUGGAAAUGUGUUGUGCUGCCUGGAAAGCUGUCAGAGAACACAUAUCUUGGAUGGGACCCUGCUAAUUCAACUGGGCUCCUGUCGGCUAUGUUCUCUGGUCCCCUCAUUAUGCACUGUGAGAUGGUAAAAAGAAUGUAGGCCUAGAGAUGAACAAGGAAGACUUGAGGAAGGUGACAAUUGAAUAUGUUUACUUGUGACGGGAGAUGUGCAGCGUUCUACAGAUAGAGACGUUUUGUUGCCAUGCUGUGAUCACAACACCACGUAUUGAUUGGAUACAAGGAGGACAUUUUCACAAAAGGCCUCCUGUUGCGAGCUCCCAGCUAAAUACUACAGAGAAUAUCUGUGACCUUUUAGCAGUAUCUUAAACCUUUCUGGAGGCAGCACCAAGGUGAGCUGAGGGGAACAGGGGAGCUCAGCUCCUCGGGGAGGGGGAGAGCAAAUUAAAGCUCACCUCAGGAACCGUGCCACCCCUGGCACUGUCCUGAUGCAACAGCUGCAGAUACAAAAACCAUCAUCUGACAUCCUGACACACGUCUGUGCCAGGUGGGUUGGGCGGGCUGGGUGUGCUGGGCAGGCGAGUCGGGCCAACUAGCCAAUGCCAGCUCUCAGGCA